GCGAGUAUAAUUCAAAGGUAGAAUAUUAGUCUUCCAAACUAAUUAUAAGGGUUCGAUUCCCUUUACUCGCU
rnacentral:tRNA from 1 species